GGGUUGUGAGGUUAAGCGACUAAGCGUACACGGUGGAUGCCUAGGCAGUCAGAGGCGAUGAAGGGCGUGCUAAUCUGCGAAAAGCGUCGGUAAGGUGAUAUGAACCGUAACAGCCGACGAUACCCGAAUGGGGAAACCCAGUGUGUUUCGACACAUUAUCAUCACAUGAAUACAUAGUGUGAUGAGGCGAACCGGGGGAACUGAAACAUCUCAGUACCCCGAGGAAAAGAAAUCAACCGAGAUUCCCCCAGUAGCGGCGAGCGAACGGGGAAAAGCCCAGAACCUGAAUCAGUUUGUGUGUUAGUGGAAGCGUCUGGAAAGUCGCACGACAGAGGGUGAUAGUCCCGUACACAAAAAUGCACAGAUUGUGAGUUCGAUGAGUAGGGCGGGACACGUGAUAUCCUGUCUGAAGAUGGGGGGACCAUCCUCCAAGGCUAAAUACUCCUGACUGACCGAUAGUGAACCAGUACCGUGAGGGAAAGGCGAAAAGAACCCCGGCGAGGGGAGUGAAAUAGAACCUGAAACCGUGUACGUACAAGCAGUGGGAGCCUUGAUUUAUCAGGGUGACUGCGUACCUUUUGUAUAAUGGGUCAGCGACUUAUAUUCUGUAGCAAGGUUAACCGAAUAGGGGAGCCGCAGGGAAACCGAGUCUUAACUGGGCGUUAAGUUGCAGAGUAUAGACCCGAAACCCGGUGAUCUAGCCAUGGGCAGGUUGAAGGUUGGGUAACACUAACUGGAGGACCGAACCGACUAAUGUUGAAAAAUUAGCGGAUGACCUGUGGCUGGGGGUGAAAGGCCAAUCAAACCGGGAGAUAGCUGGUUCUCCCCGAAAGCUAUUUAGGUAGCGCCUCGUGAACUCAUCUACGGGGGUAGAGCACUGUUUCGACUAGGGGGUCAUCCCGACUUACCAACUCGAUGCAAACUGCGAAUACCGUAGAAUGUUAUCACGGGAGACACACGGCGGGUGCUAACGUCCGUCGUGAAGAGGGAAACAACCCAGACCGCCAGCUAAGGUCCCAAAGUCAUGGUUAAGUGGGAAACGAUGUGGGAAGGCCCAGACAGCCAGGAUGUUGGCUUAGAAGCAGCCAUCAUUUAAAGAAAGCGUAAUAGCUCACUGGUCGAGUCGGCCUGCGCGGAAGAUGUAACGGGGCUAAACCAUGCACCGAAGCUGCGGCAGCGACGCUUAGGCGUUGUUGGGUAGGGGAGCGUUCUGUAAGCCUGCGAAGGUGGCCCGUGAGGGUUGCUGGAGGUAUCAGAAGUGCGAAUGCUGACAUAAGUAACGAUAAUGCGGGUGAAAAACCCGCACGCCGGAAGACCAAGGGUUCCUGUCCAACGUUAAUCGGGGCAGGGUGAGUCGACCCCUAAGGCGAGGCUGAAAAGCGUAGUCGAUGGGAAACAGGUUAAUAUUCCUGUACUGGGUGUUGCUGCGAAGGGGGGACGGAGAAAGCUAGGUUGGCCGGGCGACGGUUGUCCCGGUUUAAGCGUGCAGGUGGGUGUUUUUGGUAAAUCCGGAACACUGUUAACACUGAGGCGUGAUGACGAGUCACCACGGUGACGAAGUAACCGAUGCUACGCUUCCAGGAAAAGCCUCUAAGCUCCAGGCAACACGCAAUCGUACCCCAAACCGACACAGGUGGUCAGGUAGAGAAUACUCAGGCGCUUGAGAGAACUCGGGUGAAGGAACUAGGCAAAAUGGUGCCGUAACUUCGGGAGAAGGCACGCUGGAUUUGGUGAAGUCCCUCGCGGAUGGAGCUGAGACCAGUCGCAGAUACCAGCUGGCUGCAACUGUUUAAUAAAAACACAGCACUGUGCAAACACGAAAGUGGACGUAUACGGUGUGACGCCUGCCCGGUGCCGGAAGGUUAAUUGAUGGGGUCAGCCUUUGGGCGAAGCUCUUGAUCGAAGCCCCGGUAAACGGCGGCCGUAACUAUAACGGUCCUAAGGUAGCGAAAUUCCUUGUCGGGUAAGUUCCGACCUGCACGAAUGGCGUAAUGAUGGCCAGGCUGUCUCCACCCGAGACUCAGUGAAAUUGAACUCGCUGUGAAGAUGCAGUGUACCCGCGGCAAGACGGAAAGACCCCGUGAACCUUUACUAUAGCUUGACACUGAACCUUGAGCCUUGAUGUGUAGGAUAGGUGGGAGGCUUUGAAGCGUGGACGCCAGUCUGCGUGGAGCCAACCUUGAAAUACCACCCUUUAAUGUUCGAUGUUCUAACGUGGGCCCCUGAGCGGGGUUGCGGACAGUGUCUGGUGGGUAGUUUGACUGGGGCGGUCUCCUCCCAAAGAGUAACGGAGGAGCACGAAGGUUAGCUAAUCCUGGUCGGACAUCAGGAGGUUAGUGCAAAGGCAUAAGCUAGCUUGACUGCGAGAGUGACGGCUCGAGCAGGUGCGAAAGCAGGUCUUAGUGAUCCGGUGGUUCUGAAUGGAAGGGCCAUCGCUCAACGGAUAAAAGGUACUCCGGGGAUAACAGGCUGAUACCGCCCAAGAGUUCAUAUCGACGGCGGUGUUUGGCACCUCGAUGUCGGCUCAUCACAUCCUGGGGCUGAAGUAGGUCCCAAGGGUAUGGCUGUUCGCCAUUUAAAGUGGUACGCGAGCUGGGUUUAGAACGUCGUGAGACAGUUCGGUCCCUAUCUGCCGUGGGCGUUGGAAGAUUGAGAGGGGUUGCUCCUAGUACGAGAGGACCGGAGUGAACGCACCACUGGUGUACGGGUUGUGAUGCCAAUUGCAUUGCCCGGUAGCUACGUGCGGAAGAGAUAACCGCUGAAAGCAUCUAAGCGGGAAACUUGCCUCGAGAUGAGUCUUCCCUGGGACUUUAAGUCCCCUGAAGGGCCGUUGAAGACGACGACGUAGAUAGGCUGGGUGUGUAAGCGUUGCGAGACGUUGAGCUAACCAGUACUAAUGACCCGAGAGGCUUAACCUUACAACACCGAAGGUGUUUUAG
rnacentral:rRNA from 1 species